rnacentral:rRNA from 1 species
CCUACGGGAGGCUGCAGUGAGGAAUAUUGGUCAAUGGCCGUAAGGCUGAACCAGCCAAGUAGCGUGAAGGAAGAAUGAUCUAUGGUUUGUAAACUUCUUUUAUAAGGGAAUAAAGGUAUCCACGUGUGGAUAUUUGCAUGUACCCUAUGAAUAAGCAUCGGCUAACUCCGUGCCAGCAGCCGCGGUAAUACGGAGGAUGCGAGCGUUAUCCGGUUUUAUUGGGUUUAAAGGGUGCGUAGGCGGAACAUUAAGUCAGCGGUAAAAUCGAGGGGCUCAACCCCUGUAAGCCGUUGAAACUGGUGAUCUUGAGUGGGCGAGAAGUAUGCGGAAUUCGUGGUGUAGCGGUGAAAUGCAUAGAUAUCACGCAGAACUCCGAUUGCGAAGGCAGCAUACCGGCGCCCGACUGACGCUGAGGCACGAAAGCGUGGGGAGCAAACAGGAUUAGAUACCCGAGUAGUC